AGAGUUUGAUCCUGGCUCAGGACGAACGCUGGCGGCGGGCCUAACACAUGCAAGUCGUAGGGUAGAUAAGACUUCGGUCUUAUUGAGACUGGCGAAUGGGUGAGUAACGCGUAGACAAUCUGCCUAUAGGUGGGGGAUAGCCCGGGGAAACCCGGAUUAACACCGCAUAAUGCAGCGGGGCCGCAUGGCCACAGUUGUUAAAUCCUUCGGGAGCCUAUAGAUGAGUCUGCGUCGCAUUAGCUAGUUGGUAGGGUAGUGGCUUACCAAGGCGAUGAUGCGUAGCUGGUCUGAGAGGAUGAUCAGCCACACGGGGACUGAGACACGGCCCCGACUCCUACGGGAGGCAGCAGUGAGGAAUCUUGCGCAAUGGGGGAAACCCUGACGCAGCCACGCCGCGUGAAGGAAGACGGUCCUACGGAUUGUAAACUUCUUUUCUAUCUGAAGAAGGCACGGGUUUCGACCUGUGUUGACGGUAGGGUAGGAAUAAGCACCGGCUAACUCCGUGCCAGCAGCCGCGGUAAUACGGAGGGUGCGAGCGUUGUCCGGAAUCAUUGGGUGUAAAGGGUGCGCAGGCGGAUUGUUAAGUCUGAGGUGAAAUCUUACCGCUCAACGGUAAACGUGCCUUGUAUACUGGCAAUCUUGAGUAUGAUAGAGGUCGGUGGAAUUCGUAGUGUAGCGGUGAAAUGCAUAGAUAUUACGAAGAACACCAGUGGUGAAAACGGGCCGGCUGGAUCAUAACUGACGCUCAGGCACGAGAGCGGUGGGGAGCGAACAGGAUUAGAUACCCUGUAGUCCACGCUGUAAACGAUGUGUGCUAGUGUUGCCCUGUAUGGGGUCAGU
rnacentral:rRNA from 1 species